UAUUAGCUCAGUAGGCAGUUAGUACAACAUUCAUGGGUUCAGUAGAGGAGUGAAUGGUCACUCAUGAAAAACAAAUAAGAGUAGGAUUAAAUCGAAUGAAGCUUGAGAUUGACUGUCGGAGGCGAUUGCAUGAUGAUGUAUAAAGCACACGGACACACGCAUCAUGUGGCAGGGAGGCAGAGACUUGGUGGAGAGGAGAUGGAAAGUGGCUAAAGCGCACCCGGUAGUGAAUGGCAAAAGCAGCCAAACAGACCUGUGAGAGAGUGGGAAGAUGAAGGGGACGGUACAUUUGUUUGGAGGUGGAAGACAG